AGUAUCGCGUAGGUAACCUACCCUUGAGUGUGGAAUAAGCCCGGGAAACUGGGUACAAUACCGCAUGUUAUCCGACCGGCGCAUGUCGGACGGAUCAAAGCCUUCGGGCGCUCAGGGAUGGGCCUGCGUUCUAUUAGCUUGUUGGUGAGGUAAAGGCUCACCAAGGCUACGAUGGAUAGCUGGUCUGAGAGGAUGAUCAGCCACACUGGGACUGAGAUACGGCCCAG
rnacentral:rRNA from 1 species